UAGAUGAAUGCUCGCUGGUUUAGGGCGUUUAGCUGUUAACUAAAAGUUUGUAGGAUCGAGGCCUUCUCAUCUAG
rnacentral:tRNA from 1 species